GAUGAACGCUGGCGGCGUGCUUAACACAUGCAAGUCGAACGGAAAGGCUCCUGCUUGCAGGGGUACUCGAGUGGCGAACGGGUGAGUAACACGUGGGUGAUCUGCCCUGCACUUCGGGAUAAGCCUGGGAAACUGGGUCUAAUACCGGAUAGGACGAUGGUUUGGAUGCCAUUGUGGAAAGUUUUUUCGGUGUGGGAUGAGCUCGCGGCCUAUCAGCUUGUUGGUGGGGUAAUGGCCUACCAAGGCGUCGACGGGUAGCCGGCCUGAGAGGGUGUACGGCCACAUUGGGACUGAGAUACGGCCCAGACUCCUACGGGAGGCAGCAGUGGGGAAUAUUGCACAAUCGGCGCAAGCCUGAUGCAGCGACGCCGCGUGGGGGAUGACGGCCUUCGGGUUGUAAACUCCUUUCGCUAGGGACGAAGCGCAAGUGACGGUACCUGGAGAAGAAGCACCGGCUAACUACGUG
rnacentral:rRNA from 1 species